rnacentral:rRNA from 1 species
CAUGAUGAACGCUAGCUACAGGCUUAACACAUGCAAGUCGAGGGGCAGCAUGGUCUUAGCUUGCUAAGGCCGAUGGCGACCGGCGCACGGGUGAGUAACACGUAUCCAACCUGCCGUCUACUCUUGGACAGCCUUCUGAAAGGAAGAUUAAUGCAAGAUGGCAUCAUGAGUCCGCAUGUUCACAUGAUUAAAGGUAUUCCGGUAGACGAUGGGGAUGCGUUCCAUUAGAUAGUAGGCGGGGUAACGGCCCACCUAGUCUUCGAUGGAUAGGGGUUCUGAGAGGAAGGUCCCCCACAUUGGAACUGAGACACGGUCCAAACUCCUACGGGAGGCAGCAGUGAGGAAUAUUGGUCAAUGGGCGAGAGCCUGAACCAGCCAAGUAGCGUGAAGGAUGACUGCCCUAUGGGUUGUAAACUUCUUUUAUAAAGGAAUAAAGUCGGGUAUGGAUACCCGUUUGCAUGUACUUUAUGAAUAAGGAUCGGCUAACUCCGUGCCAGCAGCCGCGGUAAUACGGAGGAUCCGAGCGUUAUCCGGAUUUAUUGGGUUUAAAGGGAGCGUAGAUGGAUGUUUAAGUCAGUUGUGAAAGUUUGCGGCUCAACCGUAAAAUUGCAGUUGAUACUGGAUAUCUUGAGUGCAGUUGAGGCAGGCGGAAUUCGUGGUGUAGCGGUGAAAUGCUUAGAUAUCACGAAGAACUCCGAUUGCGAAGGCAGCCUGCUAAGCUGCAACUGACAUUGAGGCUCGAAAGUGUGGGUAUCAAACAGGAUUAGAUACCCUGGUAGUCCACACGGUAAACGAUGAAUACUCGCUGUUUGCGAUAUACGGCAAGCGGCCAAGCGAAAGCGUUAAGUAUUCCACCUGGGGAGUACGCCGGCAACGGUGAAACUCAAAGGAAUUGACGGGGGCCCGCACAAGCGGAGGAACAUGUGGUUUAAUUCGAUGAUACGCGAGGAACCUUACCCGGGCUUAAAUUGCAGAUGAAUUACGGUGAAAGCCGUAAGCCGCAAGGCAUCUGUGAAGGUGCUGCAUGGUUGUCGUCAGCUCGUGCCGUGAGGUGUCGGCUUAAGUGCCAUAACGAGCGCAACCCUUGUUGUCAGUUACUAACAGGUUCCGCUGAGGACUCUGACAAGACUGCCAUCGUAAGAUGUGAGGAAGGUGGGGAUGACGUCAAAUCAGCACGGCCCUUACGUCCGGGGCUACACACGUGUUACAAUGGGGGGUACAGAGGGCCGCUACCACGCGAGUGGAUGCCAAUCCCCAAAACCUCUCUCAGUUCGGACUGGAGUCUGCAACCCGACUCCACGAAGCUGGAUUCGCUAGUAAUCGCGCAUCAGCCACGGCGCGGUGAAUACGUUCCCGGGCCUUGUACACACCGCCCGUCAAGCCAUGGGAGCCGGGGGUACCUGAAGUGCGUAACCGCGAGGAGCGCCCUAGGGUAAAACUGG